AGCAGCCGCCGCGGGAAUACGUAGGGGGCAAGCGUUGUCCGGAAUUAUUGGGCGUAAAGCGCGCGCAGGCGGUUUCUUAAGUCUGAUGUGAAAGCCCCCGGCUCAACCGGGGAAGGUCAUUGGAAACUGGGAAACUUGAGUGCAGAAGAGGAGAGUGGAAUUCCACGUGUAGCGGUGAAAUGCGUAGAGAUGUGGAGGAACACCAGUGGCGAAGGCGACUCUCUGGUCUGUAACUGACGCUGAGGAGCGAAAGCGUGGGGAGCGAACAGGAUUAGAUACCCCUGUAGUCCCUGUCUCUUAUAC
rnacentral:rRNA from 1 species